UACAGAGGUCUCAAGCGUUGUUCGGAUUCAUUGGGCGUAAAGGGUGCGUAGGCGGCUGGGCAAGUCUGAUGUGAAAUCCCGGGGCUCAACCCCGGAACUGCACUGGAUACUGCCCUGCUAGAGAUCUGGAGAGGAAACUGGAAUUUACGGUGUAGCAGUGAAAUGCGUAGAUAUCGUAAGGAAGGCCAGUGGCGAAGGCGAGUUUCUGGACAGAUUCUGACGCUGAGGCACGAAGGCCAGGGGAGCAAACGGG
rnacentral:rRNA from 1 species